CUUGAAUGGGGUGCAACAAUGCUGAACAAUAUUGGUAACAUUCGUGAACAAUAGGCGUAGCACAUUAUUGUUGCAACCUGUUUUUAUCAACAUUGCAACUACAAGUUCAUGAUUUUUACGCGUGUAGGCAGGAGAAGAAAAACGUUUUUUUCCGAUUUAGACACGUGUCCUGACAAUUCCCGGGAAAUUCCUGUGACACCGGUUUUACACCCAAAAUACCAGCCAUAUGGCAGUGUGAAGAUAGUAUGCUAUCACAAAAAGUUGAGUUCGAAGUUAUAUGGAGAAAAUUGUAGAUUACAUUAUUAAUAAAAGAUAAACUGUCAGAUUAUAUUCGUUCUUCGAAAAUUUGUGGUUGUCAUUUUACCGGGAACAUCUUUCUUAUAUUUAUUCAGUUUUAUAGGCAAAUUACAUGUGUUCGCAAUGGUCUAGCAAACAACGAAUUCGAUUAAAUUUGCCCAUUUCAGCGUUUUACCCCCAUUUCAGCGUUCUACCCCCAUUUCAGCGUUUUAUCCCCAUUUCAGCGUUUUAUCCCCAUUUCAGCGUUUUAUCCCCCAUUUCAGCGUUUUACCCCCAUUUCAGCGUUUUAUCCCCAUUUCAGCGUUUUACCCCCAUUUCAGCGUUUUAUCCCCAUUUCAGCGUUUUACCCCCAUUUCAGCGUUUUACCCCCAUUUCAGCGUUUUAUCCCCAUUUCAGUUUCCGCUUUCAGUUUCCGUUUCCGCGAUUCAGUUUCAGCGUUUUAUCCCUACCCA